UUUUUGAUCUACUAGCUAAAGAAUUUAUACUUAUUUUCGCAACGUUGCUUAUUAAAAAAAGUCAAGAGUUAUACAAAUGUAUAUGCGAAUAUAAAACAUAUUACUUCUAUAUGAUUUCUGACUAGAUAAUGUUGGCUGAAAUUUUUAAGAUGAAUUGGAAUAAUUGCUAAAAAUAUGAGUAGGUAAAGACGUAAUGGCGAUGACCCUGACACUUCUAAAGCAGGGACAAGUCAAUUGAUGGUUUGGGGUCCUGGGCACCAGUACGAACCGUCUAAGUGACUUAUCGAAGAAUGCUUACAGAAACUUUGUAGCCUUUGCUCAAAUUCACAUUUAUUUGUCGAGAGAAUUGAGUUUCUCGGCAAACCCCAAACUCACGAUCAACACAUACCAAUGCAAUUUUUACGGAUUUACAAACCAAACUUCUUUGUUUUGUUUGAAGCCAAUGUCUAUUUUGCAAAAUAUAAACUCAGAAGCUCUAAUUAUACCAACGUUGAGCUCAAGACAGAUUGAAUGCAAAAUAACCAGUAUGAUGCAACAUCAAAACGCACUGGCUGUUUCUCUCAAAUACCUGAUAAUUGUAUUAUGAU